UUUCUUUGCUGGCGACCGGCGCACGGGUGAGUAACACGUAUCCAACCUGCCCUUUACUCGGGGAUAGCCUUUCGAAAGAAAGAUUAAUACCCGAUAGCAUAAUGAUUCCGCAUGGCUUCAUUAUUAAAGGAUUCCGGUAAAGGAUGGGGAUGCGUUCCAUUAGGUUGUUGGUGAGGUAACGGCCCACCAAGCCUUCGAUGAAUAGGGGUUCUGAGAGGAAGGUCCCCCACAUUGGAACUGAGACACGGUCCAA
rnacentral:rRNA from 1 species